rnacentral:sRNA from 1 species
UUGCCCUUUUUUUUAGGAGUGUUCCCUGGAAAAGAGGGACGGAUGAACCUGGAAGGCCAAAUCCUUGUAGCUGUCUUCUUGCCCCGGUCAGUGCCAGCCGUACUAUUCACAACACUGCUGCUACCGAGGCCUAGGAUCAGUUCUUAAGAGCAGCCCCGGUAACUGGAGGAAUGGGAGCCGUUUUGAUGAGAAAAAUGGGCUGGAGAGAAGGAGAAGGAUUAGGAAAAAACAAAGAAGGCAAUAAGGAACCCAUCCUAGUUGAUUUUAAGACAGACCGAAAAGGUCUUGUUGCAGUAGGAGAAAGAGCACAAAAGAGGUCUGGGAACUUCUCUGCUGCAAUGAAAGAUCUGUCAGGCAAACAUCCUGUGUCUGCUUUGAUGGAAAUCUGUAAUAAGAGAAGGUGGCAACCACCUGAAUUUCUAUUGGUCCAUGAUAGUGGCCCUGAUCAUCGCAAACAUUUUCUCUUUAGGGUAUUGAUAAAUGGAAGCGCUUACCAGCCC